rnacentral:rRNA from 1 species
UACGGGGGGGGUAAGCGUUGUUCGGAAUUACUGGGCGUAAAGGGCUCGUAGGCGGCCAACUAAGUCAGACGUGAAAUCCCUCAGCUUAACUGGGGAACUGCGUCUGAUACUGGAUGGCUUGGAUUUGGGAGAGGGAUGCGGAAUUCCAGGUGUAGCGGUGAAAUGCGUAGAUAUCUGGAGGAACACCGGUGGCGAAGGCGGCGUUCUGGACUGCAACUGACACUGAGGAACGAAAGCCAGGGGAGCAAACGGG